rnacentral:rRNA from 1 species
GACGAACGCUGGCGGCGUGCCUAAUACAUGCAAGUCGAACGCACUCUCGUUUAGAUUGAAGGAGCUUGCUCCUGAUUGAUAAACAUUUGAGUGAGUGGCGGACGGGUGAGUAACACGUGGGUAACCUGCCCUAAAGUGGGGGAUAACAUUUGGAAACAGAUGCUAAUACCGCAUAAAACCUAACACCGCAUGGUGUAGGGUUGAAAGAUGGUUUCGGCUAUCACUUUAGGAUGGACCCGCAGUGCAUUAGUUAGUUGGUGAGGUAAAGGCUCACCAAGACCGUGAUGCAUAGCCGACCUGAGAGGGUAAUCGGCCACACUGGGACUGAGACACGGCCCAGACUCCUACGGGAGGCAGCAGUAGGGAAUCUUCCACAAUGGACGAAAGUCUGAUGGAGCAACGCCGCGUGAGUGAAGAAGGUUUUCGGAUCGUAAAACUCUGUUGUUGGAGAAGAAUGUAUCUGAUAGUAACUGAUCAGGUAGUGACGGUAUCCAACCAGAAAGCCAACGG